rnacentral:tRNA from 1 species
UGAUAAAAAAAGGACUUUAACCUUUAUAAAAGGGGCUACAACCCUUCACCUAAUUCGGCCACCUUACC